GUGAAGGUGAGAUGGGCAGCGCAAACCCAAGUGAGGGUGCACCAGCUCAUCCCUCAGACAACCACACUGUGGUCUGAAUCCAUGGAAUGGUCAGGAAGAAUGCACGCCUUUAUCCCUAACUGAGAGUGAAAGAUGUCGAUGUGAUGGAGGAGAAGGUAGCACAGAGGACUCAGUGAUUUCAAAAUGGAGGUACACCUGUAUUAAGUCCUCGGCUGCCUUGACCCAAGUGUGACCUUCCAGUUUCACCCUCAAGGUGACACAGAAUGUGUUGUCCUGUUUUUGCAGAUGGAUCUCCUUGAGAAGCUUUAUCAGAUUGAAGGCAUACAGCUAUGAGUGCAUUGAGGAUUGUAGAGCAGCCCUUGCCUCUACCAGGUUACCAUGGCAACUGGGAUGCUGCAGAGACACUAGAAGAGGCAGGGUCUUCUGAUGUGUGAUGCCAGAACCCGUUGUCCCCGAGAUUGGACUUCAUCUCAACAAGGAUACACGUUCCCAACACUUCAUCAUUCUUCAAAGGAACAGGACAACGGUUUGUAAAAUGGGUCAGUACUAACUCUCAGAUUGAAAUGCAUGGUUGCAAGGAGAGGAAUAGCAAUGCUGAUGUUCAUGUGGGCCCAUGAGAGAGGACACUUGUCCAAGAGGAUGCGGACUAUGAGGGCCUCAUGUGCACGCCUGCCUCAUCUGCCCUGUGUUACGGCCUUUACCCCUGGAGCCUCGGCUUCCACAAACUCAUCACCCUCAUCGCUUUCAAUCCUCCUCAUCGGAAAAGACGUGCAGCUCCUCCAUGUCAGCAUCUGGCAACUCCUCCCCCCUUUGCAGCACUAGGUUGUGCAGCGGACAGCAGAUCAUGAAGAUCUAUGAGACCGUCUGGGAAGUGCACUGAAGUGCUCUGUCAAGGCAUCGCAAUCGCAUCUUCAAUAUGCCAGUGCUCUGCUGUACCAGUGUUCGGGUAACGAUAUGAGCAUCGUUAUAGCUUCUCUCUGUAGGAUUUUGUAGCCGCCGCACAGGUGUCAUCAGCUAGGUCCUUUGCAGGUACCCUUUGUCAUGAAGGAGCCAACCCUGGAUUCUAUGUGGUCCCUUGAAGAUGUCAGGGAUCUGCGAUCUAUUGAAGAUAUAAGAGUCAUGGCAGCUUCCUGGAUAUCUUGCAUAAACCUCCAUGAUUUAUUUAUUGCUGUCACAGACCAGCUGAACAUUGAGCAAGUCGAAGCCUUUCCUGUUUAUGUACUGGAGUGCCUGUUGCCAGGGAGCUUUGAUGGCCACGUGAGUGCAGUUAAUAGCACCCUGCAUCUGUGGGAAUCUAUAAAUCUUGGUAAAGCCCAGCACUCUGGCCUCCUGGCUCUCUUGAUCUCCUGACGAAGUUGACAUAAUUGUGGGCCUUGGCAAAAUGGGCAUCUGUGACCUCAUGUAUGCAUUUGUGUGUUGAAGCUUGAGCGAUCCUGCACAGGUCCUCAGUGGAGCCCUGGAAAGAGCCACUUGCGUAGAAGUUCAGAGCAGCGGUGACUUUCAGAGCCACUGGCAAUGGAUGCCCUCCUAGUCCCUAUAGUGCCAAUUUCUGGAGAAUGUGGCAAAUGAGAGUCACCAGAUCCCUGGACGUGCAAAGGUAUCGGCAAUACUGUCUCUCACUCAUUUGCAGUUAAGACAUUUGUGUUCUGUACAUCCUCGGUCUUGAGAGCCGCCUAUGCACAAUGUUUCUGUUAGCCUCAUCCUCUGCGUCUGGAGGGAGCCCUGCUGCCCCUUGCUCUUGAGGGCUUAGCUCUUCCCUUUGGUGAGCCUGGCACUGCAAUCGCAAUCUUCUCCACCUUCUCUCCUGCCUGUAUGCGAUAAUGCAGGCAGCAACAAAUCCAACCACCAUCUUCCUAAAGUUCUCAACAAAAUGAGUCAGCAUGAGCCUCCAAAGCUCCAAAUUCUGUACAUGACUGAUGUGUGACUGUGCGUUCAAAGGCUUGGAUCCAGCGAUGGCACCUAUUCGCCACUUAAAUCCUGGCAUGUGCAAGGAACAUUUCAAGGUGCUACCUCCCCCCCCACAUGACCGAUUGCGAUGAGAUUGUUUUGGCCAGGUGCUGGGAUCCUCAAACACUGAACUGUUAUACUACACUUUGUGAUACUCAUGAGGCCUAAUGUUUAUUGAGCAACUGUGAUUAUUUGAGGGGGGGGGUCUGAGACUUCCCAUUUCUGAGCCUGCCAGCACCAAGACUGUGAGCUCCUGCUUUAAAGAUGUAUCUGCAGCAUGUCCAGUUGCUAAAAUGCACUAGACCUCAUUAUUGCUGUGGACAAUUGGUACGCUUGGAGCAAGGGAUAAAGCAAGUCGUUCUAUAAGUGCCAUAAUGAUGACUAAUGACUCAUCAUUAAUCUUGCAUGAAUGCGCUUCAUUGCUUCACUGCCCUGAUUCCUGGCGUUAUCAUUAAAAGACUCCUAACAUUU